UCCAGACUCCUACGGGAGGCAGCAGUGAGGAAUAUUGGUCAAUGGGCGGGAGCCUGAACCAGCCAGGUCGCGUGAGGGAUGACGGCCCUAUGGGUUGUAAACCUCUUUUGCCGGGGAGCAAAGUGCCGCACGUGUGCGGUUUGGAGAGUACCCGGAGAAAAAGCAUCGGCUAACUCCGUGCCAGCAGCCGCGGUAAUACGGAGGAUGCGAGCGUUAUCCGGAUUUAUUGGGUUUAAAGGGUGCGUAGGCGGGCUUUUAAGUCAGCGGUAAAAAUUCGGGGCUCAACCCCGUCCGGCCGUUGAAACUGGGGGCCUUGAGUGGGCGAGAAGAAGGCGGAAUGCGUGGUGUAGCGGUGAAAUGCAUAGAUAUCACGCAGAACCCCGAUUGCGAAGGCAGCUUACUAAACUGUGACUGACAUUGAUGCUCGAAAGUGUGGGUAUCAAACAGGAUUAGAUACCCUUGUA
rnacentral:rRNA from 1 species